rnacentral:rRNA from 1 species
AAAGCACUUUCAGUCGUGAGGAAGGUAGUGUAGUUAAUAGCUGCAUUAUUUGUACGUUAGCGACGAGAAGAAGCACCCGGCUAACUCCGUGCCAGCAGCCGCGGUAAUACGGAGGGUGCGAGCGUUAAUCGGAAUUACUGGGCGUAAAGCGCAUGCAGGUGGUUUGUUAAGUCAGAUGUGAAAGACCCGGGGCGUCAACCUCGGAAUAGCAUUUGAAACUAGGCAGACUAGAGUACUGUAGAGGGGGGUAGGAAGUUUCAGGUGUAGCGGUGAAAUGCGUAGAGAUCUGAAGGAAUACCGGUGGCGAAGGCGGCCCCCUCGGACAGAUACUGACACUCAGAUGCGAAAGCGUGGGGAGCAAACAGGAUUAGAUACCCCUGGUAG